GGCCAUUCUGUAUUUCCACCAACAGUGCAAAGGUUCCAAUUUAUGCAGAUGUGUUUUGAAGCAGGAUCAUCGAAUAGCAAAGUCCCUGGUCUUUCAGCUCCAUUACUCCCUCUCCUCAUCAUCUGCUCCCGUAGACAUUCAACACUCUUUCCUAAAACGAGCUUACCACACAAAUGGCCUGUGAUGGAGAUUUAUAGUGCUCCCCAGUGGUCCCAGCUCUCCACUCCUUCCUGGGCACCCAGCACAAUACACUUCUUAGCUCCGUGGCAAGUUGGAAAGGGCCAGUGACCAGUUUUGGCCAAUAAAUGUAAGUGGAAGUGGCAAAGGUCACCUGUGCAAGGAUGGAGUGAAAAACCUCUGUACUCUUUCUUCCCUAACAUAGGAAAUCUGCAAGCCACCAGUACUGCCUUACAAAAAAAGGUGCUUCCCCUUCCUCCAACCCCAUAUGCAAAUCCCAACAUACCAGAUGUGAAAGCAAGAAGGAAUGGAAAGAGAAGUCUACUCACAGGUCCCAUUCUGAGGCCUCCAGCCAAGGGGACGCCAUGGUGAAAACACUGCAGAGAGACCAUUAUUGUGCAAUGCUUCCCAUAUUAGUGGAUAUCAGAUGAGAAAUCUCAUGUUGGAGUAAGAUCACCACCAGAAUCCUGUUAGCAUGUUAGCUAAAACCUGAAGACCCUACAGCUAUCACUGACUGGUGAGUGAAGAAACUAUGAUUAAGAGGAAGGCAGAAUUGAGCAUCAACAUGCACAAAGGGUUAUGAAGCCAUGGGAACGAUUCUCCCAUGGGGGAGAAGGUGGUAGAAAUACUCACUUCCAUCCACAUGGUUGGAGUAGUGGUCAGAAUGUGGAAGAGGGUCUUCAAGGGCUCUGGAAGAAGACCCAAUCAGAGAACUGUGAUUCAAUGGGAGAGAGGGCAGAACCACAAUGAAUGAAAUCCUUUUUCCCUGACACAUACAAUGUUAGUGGAUACAGACUAACCAGCAUCAGUGUCAAUGGAAAACAAAAAUCACUCCGAUGUAGAAAGCUAAGAUGACAGAGAAAAUAAAA
rnacentral:lncRNA from 1 species